AUUGAACGCUGGCGGCAUGCCUAAUACAUGCAAGUCGAACGAUCACUUCGGUGGUAGUGGCGCACGGGUGCGUAACGCGUGGGAAUCUGCCCUUGGGUUCGGAAUAACGUCGGGAAACUGACGCUAAUACCGGAUGAUGACGUAAGUCCAAAGAUUUAUCGCCCAGGGAUGAGCCCGCGUAGGAUUAGCUAGUUGGUGGGGUAAAGGCCUACCAAGGCGACGAUCCUUAGCUGGUCUGAGAGGAUGAUCAGCCACACUGGGACUGAGACACGGCCCAGACUCCUACGGGAGGCAGCAGUAGGGAAUAUUGGACAAUGGGGGCAACCCUGAUCCAGCAAUGCCGCGUGAGUGAUGAAGGCCUUAGGGUUGUAAAGCUCUUUUACCCGGGAUGAUAAUGACAGUACCGGGAGAAUAAGCCCCGGCUAACUCCGUGCCAGCAGCCGCCGUAA
rnacentral:rRNA from 1 species